GUGUCAGCAGCCGCGGUAAAACGUAGGUGGCGAGCGUUAUCCGGAUUUACUGGGCGUAAAGCGUGUGCAGGCGGGGCCACAAGUGGUGUAUGAAAUCGCUCGGCUUAACCGGGCGCGGGUAUGCCAGACUGUGGUUCUGGAGUGCGGGAGAGGGGCGUGGAAUUCCGGGUGUAGUGGUGAAAUGCGUAGAGAUCCGGAGGAACCCCAGAGGCGAAGGCGGCGCCCUGGCCCGACACUGACGCUCAGACACGACAGCAUGGGGAGCGAACGGGAUUAGAAACCCCCGUAGUCC
rnacentral:rRNA from 1 species